CCAUUGCUUUAUUCCCCUUCAUUUAGCCUCCAAGGAUCUGGUUCAGCGCAUUGCCAUUUCCACAAGUUAAAACUUGGUGAGGAUUCUCUGGUGUCUUUGUUUCCUUUGUAACUUGGGAUGACACACUUGUUUUUGUCAGCUUUCCCAAGAACGGCGUUGUCCUUCUGUCAGUGGAAGAACAGCGAGCUUGGCAAAAUACUGCGAAAGCUAAAUUUUGAAAAUCAUUUGUCUGUCAGUGGAUUCUCUAGGGCAUGCCCUGGGUCCUGUCCCCCACUCUGAAGACCACUGGCCGGGCCACUCUGAGCCCGCGAUUCUGAUCCUCAGGCUGCAGUGGAAUUUGGGGCUGUGUUCUUGCAAAGCUGCCCCGCAGGCUGUUCUGAUGCACAACCAGGUCUGAGAACCGAUUUGAAUUCUAUUCACAGCAGAUUCUAACACUAACGUUUCCAUUCCUCGGGAAAGAACUCUUCGGCUGCUUUCAACAUUAUGGAAAGAUGAAAAAAGCAUCAUCACCUACCAAAGCUAGGAUAAUUUUCACAAAAUAUUUUUUUUCUUGCCUUUUUAAAAAAUAACAUUUUUAUGCUGCUGACUGAAAUUGUUUGGUGGAGAAGCACAGGGGAAUUUCUCAUUGGCUUAGCUGAGUUUCUAACAUCCCUUGCUAAUUUUGGCUUAAUGGUCUGCUUGAUUGCUGAUGGAAGAAGGCUUGUGUUCAUCUAACUUAAAUCUUUUGAUUAUGAAGAUGGCGGCCAAUGGGGCUUUUAUUGCCUCUGCCAGCACUUGACGUGGACUGUCUCUGCGAAGGGUCUAGCAACACCCAGGGGGAUACAUGAGUAAAGAAACCACGUUAAUACACGGAUACCGCUGUUGUGAUGGUUCCCUAGAAAGCAGCUCUCAGAGCAGAACACCUCCAAGGAGUCAGCAAAUACAUCCGAAACUUGGGCUGGCCCUGAGUGAGGAGAGCAGCUCUCUCCCUGGACUUGACCUUGUCCUUCGUUCUUCGUCAGAGUGACCUCCUCCCGCUCCCACAGCAUAUCCUCACCGUCUUACUCAGAUGCCACAACUACCUUUAGCCCUUCAUCAGGAACGCUGAGCAGGAGGUCCAGAUGACAAAAGAUUCAUCAUGACUUUUGCUCCUUUUGGGAAAUCAUUCGGAGAUUUUUUUCUUCCCCCGCAAAACAGAUGCUCUUUCCCCAACCAAAUCCCCAAGCUGACAGAUGCAUAUUUGUGAGUAAAUGUAACUAGGGCAUCUGUGAAGGCACAUUUCCAUAUCUAAAUAUUUAUUGGGACAGAGGGGAGCAGUGGAAAGAAUAGAGUGAAGGGAACAAUGAAAUGCCUCAGGAAUUAUAACUUUUUAAAAAAAAAAUUGCUCUGCCUGGUUGUAUUGUAUCAGCAACUUUCAGGUCUUGAUUUUUAUAGAUGUGGAUUUUUAUAGACGCACACAGGAACAUCUCUGCGUUUGAUAUGUACACAUUGGUGACUGUAGGAAGACACAGAUGGUCUUAUAUGAGGUAUGGGGGCACUAAAGUCGUUAUCAAUGGGGAUCAAGAGGAGAUUAAGCUACACAGAAGCUCAACAAACAAAGCCAAGGAAAUAAAAUAACGAGAAGUCUCUAAAAUCUAAUUAUAAAAUAAUCCUUUAUCUUGAAAAUAAAACAGUGGUUUCUUUA